rnacentral:lncRNA from 1 species
UGGUGUCCCACCACUCGGUGCUUAUCUUUGAAGCGGUCUCAUCCAGCACCACGAAGGCUGAGCCAUUGCCGUCCAUUGGUUCCAACCUCGCAUACUUCCUGGAUGAGCUUGCGGAUGAUGCUCGUUCUGAUUACCACAAUUUAAUGGCCGCUGCCUUGGACGGCGAGUACGAGACCUGCGCUUUGUACGCCGAUCAGCUGAAACGGAGGUGCAUCGACCACUUUAAAGACGGUGUUCUCGGCCUCGAGCACCUGGCGGCCGUUGAUGGUCUCUGCGACCUCGUGUCGAAGGAGUUGGGGGUGGCUGAUCCGGUGAAGACUUACCAUGUCAAUCUGUCGCUUUUCACCUCGAUGCCUGAUUUCUGGGCGAUCGGGCAGCUCUUCCCCAUCGUUCCAAUUCAUCGUCUCGACCAGCGGCCGGCGAUCAAGGGGAUUCUAUCCGAUCUGACAUGCGACAGCGAUGGUAAGGUCGACCGGUUCAUCGGCGGGCAGUCGAGCCUGCCGCUUCACGAGCUCGGGGGAGGAGAUGGCUUGGGAGGCGGAUACUACCUGGGAAUGUUUCUUGGAGGGGCUUACCAGGAGGCGCUCGG